AACGAACGCUGGCGGCAUGCCUAACACAUGCAAGUCGAACGAGAAUUUUCCCUUCGGGGGAAUAGUAAAGUGGCGCAAGGGUGAGUAACACGUGAAUAAUCUGCCUAUGAGUUCGGGAUAACUCGGUGAAAACCGUGCUAAUACCGGAUAAGACCACGUUUCGCAAGAAAUGUGGCCAAAGGAGUCUCAAACUUCGCUUGUAGAUGAGUUCGCGGACCAUUAGCUUGUUGGAGGGAUAACAGCCCCCCAAGGCUACGAUGGUUAGCCGGCCUGAGAGGGCGAUCGGCCACACUGGAACUGAGACACGGUCCAG
rnacentral:rRNA from 1 species